rnacentral:rRNA from 1 species
GGGUUUACCCAUAGGUCAGGCUUAAUUGUCUGUACUGGUGAGAUAAAUCUCUACCUUCUGAGGAACUUUCAUGUCAUUAAUUUGGUGUGAUUGGAAAUCAGGACUGUUACUUUGAAAAAAUUAGGGUGUUUAAAGCAGGCGUAAGCUUGAAUACAUUAGCAUGGAAUAAUGAAAUAGGACGUUUGAUUCUAUUUUGUUGGUUUCUAGGAUUGACGUA